rnacentral:rRNA from 1 species
AUGCAGUUCAUCAAACGAACGGCAUCAAAUGUUUACGGGAACGAUAACUGCCGAACAUUCGGAUUUUUUGAACCUGCAGCCGAACGUGCGUGUAGCCGUUGCACGAAUUUUGAUGGUAUCCCAUUGCCACGUCAUCCCAGGGACGCGUUCGGGUUGAAGGCAAAUUCCCCCGAACGUUUUUUUACUAGCGUACCUUAUCCUUUCCCCGACAAUCACCGGCUCACCCACUCCCCCGAGUAUCCCCUCACCUUAUCAUUCCGGCGAUUACAGCGGCGAGGCCUUUCGGCGGUUGGAGCAGCGGCGUGCGGGGCACGAGUGCUGCGGGAGGGCGCCGUAUGCGGGCACCACGUUGUGAACCUGCGGGAGGAGGCGGCGGCGAGGAUGGCCCGCGGGAGGAGGCGGCGAGGAUGCGGCCCGCGGGAGGAGGCGGCGAGGUUGCGACCCGCGGGGAGGGGGCAACGGCGAGUGCGGCUGCGAGGAUGCGGCCCGCGGGAGGAGGCGGCGAGGUAG